rnacentral:lncRNA from 1 species
GUCUAUUAAUCCUUACCAAUAUCAUAUGCUGCAAAUACCUUCAUCUGGUUUGUUAGCUUGUCAGUUUUUAUGUUCUUAAUUUUUUAGAGUAGUUUUGGAUUUAUAGAAAAAUUGAAUAGAAGAGAGGAGAGUUCCCAGAUACUUCAUCACCUUCCUUAUUUUAUCUUAUUAUUAAUAUCUUGCAUUACUGGAAAGUUGUUACAACUUAUCAACCUAUAUUGAUGCAUUAUUAACUAAUAAUGAUUGUUAUGAUUUGGAUGUGAGGUGUUCGCCAAAAGCUCAUGUGUGAGACAGUGCAAGAAGGCUUAAAGGAGAAAUGAUUGGGUUGUGAGACUCUUCACCCAAUCAGUGAUUUAAUCUGCUGAUAGGGAUUAACUGGGUGGUAACUGAAGUGGUAGGGUGAGGCUAAAGGAGGCGGGAAGUGGGGUGUAGCCUUGGUUUAUAUAUUUGUACAUGGAAGUGGAGUCUGUGCUUCUUGAUCACCUUGAUGUGAGCUGCUUCCCUCUGCCACACACUCUGCCAUGAUGUUCAGCCUCACCUCAAGCCCAGAGAAAUGGAGCCAGCCUUCUAUGGACUAAGACUUCUGAAAUCAUGAGCCCUCAAAUAAAUUCUUCCUCCUCUAUAAUUGUACUGGUCGGGUCCUUUAGUCACAGCCGUGAAAAAGCUGACUAAAAAGAUGAUUUACUUUUGGUUGCAUCCUUUGUGUUGCACAUUCUAUGGGUUUUGAAAAAUGCAUAUUAUUAGGUACAAACCAUCACAGCAUGAUACGGGAUAAUUUUACUAACUUAAAAAUACCACAUUCUCCACCUAGUCAAUCCUGACCCCACCUCCCACCAAAACCCUAGCCAUCUCUCUUUUUGCUAACUCUAUGAUUUUGCCUUUUCAAGAAUAUUCUGUAGUUGAAAUCAUAAAGUACUGCACCUUUUCAGAUUGGCUUCUUUCAUUUGGCAAUAUGUCAGUAAGGCUCCUCAAUGUCUUUUUUUUUUUCACGUUAAUUUUUUUUAUUUUUAGUUGUUCAAAAUAUUACAAAGCUCUUGACAUAUCAUAUUUCAUACAUUUGAUUCAAGUGGAUUAUGAACUCCCAUUUUUACCCCGUAUACAGAUUGCAGAAUCACAUUGGUUACACAUCCACUUUUUUACAUACUGACAACCUAGUGUAUGUUGUAUUCUGCUGCCUUUCCUAUCCUCUACUAUCCCCCUCCCCUCCCCUCUCAUCCCAUCUUCUCUCUCUACCCCAUCUACUGUAAUUCAUUUCUCUGUCUUGUUUUUUUUCCCUUUCCCCUCACUUCCUCUUAUAUGUAAUUUUGUAUAACAAUGAGGGUCUCCUUCCAUUUUCAUGCAAUUUCCCUUCUCUCUCCCUUUCCCUCCCCCCUCUCAUCCCUAUUUAAUGGUGAUCUUCUUCUCAUGCUUCUCCUCCCUGUUCUGUUCUUUGUUGCCCUCCUUAUAUCAAAGAAGACAUUUGGCAUUUGUUUUUUAGGGAUUGGCUGGCUUCACUUAGCAUAAUCUGCUCUAAUGCUAUCCAUUUCCCUGCAAAUGCCAUGAUUUUGUCAUUUUUUAGUGCUGAGUAAUACUCCAUUGUGUAUAAAUGCCACAUUUUUUUUUAUCCAUUCAUCUAUUG